rnacentral:rRNA from 1 species
GACGAACGCUGGCGGCGUGCUUAACACAUGCAAGUCGAACGGAAAGGCCCUGCUUUUGUGGGGUGCUCGAGGGGCGAACGGGUGAGUAACACGUGAGUAACCUGUCCCUGACUUUGGGAUAACUUCAGGCAACUGGGGCUAAUACCGGAUAGGAGUUCCUGCUGCAUGGUGGGGGUUGGAUAGUUUCGGCGGUUGGGGAUGGAAUAGCGGCUUAUGAGCUUGUUGGUGGGGUAGUGGCUUACCAAGGCUUUGACGGGUAGCCGGCCUGGGAGGGUGACCGGCCACGUUGGGACGGGGAUACGGCCCAGACUCCAACGGGAGGCAGCAGUGGGGAAUAUUGCACAAUGGGCGGAAGCCUGAUGCAGCAACGCCGCGUGCGGGAUGACGUCCUUCGGGUUGUAAACCGCUUUCGCCUGUGACGAAGCGUGAGUGACGGUAAUGGGUAAAGAAGCACCGGCUAACUACGUG